UAGAGUUUGAUCCUGGCUCAGGAUGAACGCUAGCGGGAGGCCUAACACAUGCAAGCCGAGCGGUAUUGUUUCUUCGGAAAUGAGAGAGCGGCGUACGGGUGCGUAACACGUGUGCAACCUGCCUUUAUCUGGGGGAUAGCCUUUCGAAAGGAAGAUUAAUACUCCAUAAUAUAUUGAACGGCAUCGUUUAAUAUUGAAAGCUCCGGCGGAUAGAGAUGGGCACGCGCAAGAUUAGCUAGUUGGUGAGGUAACGGCUCACUAAGGCGAUGAUCUUUAGGGGGCCUGAGAGGGUGAUCCCCCACACUGGUACUGAGACACGGACCAGACUCCUACGGGAGGCAGCAGUGAGGAAUAUUGGUCAAUGGGUGCAAGCCUGAACCAGCCAUCCCGCGUGAAGGACGACUGCCCUAUGGGUUGUAAACUUCUUUUGUAUAGGGAUAAACCUACCCUCGUGAGGGUAGCUGAAGGUACUAUACGAAUAAGCACCGGCUAACUCCGUGCAGCAGCCGCGGUAAUACGGAGGGUGCAAGCGUUAUCCGGAUUUAUUGGGGUUUAAAGGGUCCGUAAGGCGGACUUAUAAGUCAGUGGUGAAAUCCUGUCGCUUAACGAUAGA
rnacentral:rRNA from 1 species